rnacentral:lncRNA from 1 species
UAUUUACUUCUAAAAUUUGAAUGUAAAAAAACUUAUUGUACUUAUAUUUUGUAGAAUUGAAACCUAUCAAAGAAUUACACCAAAUUUUCAGUUCAAAAUAAAAAUUAUAUCAAAUUUCAAUGAUGAUGAUGUAGAUUCAUUUUAAAAAACCUACGGUCUGAAGAAAUUUUAUUUUCCAAGAUUUAUUAGGCAAAAUUUUAAUGUAUCCCAAUAAUUUGGAAUGUAAGAACAAUAGUAUUUUUAAGUACUAGAUAAAUUCAAAAUAAAAAUAUCAACUAAAUUUUUUUUUUAUACGUACAUCACAUAUUUUUAUAUUUUACCAAUCCUAUUUUAUUUUAUUUUAUCUCGGCAAAAAUGAUAGCUAUUGUCAAGAUAAAUACAUAAAAAUCGCAAUAAUAAAUUUAAAAUUACCACUACCACACCU